UGCAGUGAUGUCAAGGUUCUGAUUCUAGAGUAGUGGAUGUCAACCUUGGCUACUCAUUAGAAUCACCAGGGAAGCCUUUAAAAAACAAAAUGGCGGAGUAGGCAUGUUAUGGACUGAAUGUCUGUAUCUUCCCCAAACGUGUGUGUUGAAACCUCACCCAUCCACUACCAAUGUGAUGGCAUUAGGAGGUGGAGCCUUCAGGAAGAUUUGAUGAAGUCCCGGGGCGGGGCUUUCAUGGGAUUAGUGCUCUUACAAGGGUCAUCAGAGAGCUGUGCUUCCUCUGUGGGCUCUCUUGUCUUUUGAGGGCCCAAGAAGCUGGCAGUCUGCAGCCGAGGAGGGGUCCUUGCCAGAACCUGACCGUGCCGUCACCCUGAUCUUGGACUUCCAGCCUCCGGGAGGGAGAUUAGCAGAGCAGUGGACAGAGCACUGGCUUUGGAGUGAGGCUGCCCAGGCUCCACACACAUGAGGCGUCAGAUAGCGAUAAGGGCUAAAGAGAAAAAUAAAGCAGGAAGAGCAACAGCCUCUGACUUCCAUUUUUGACAUCCUGAUGCUGACCUUGAAGAUGGAAGACGCCAUGAACAAGGACCAGAGAGCCGUUUCUAGGAGCUAAGAACAACUCCCGGCCAAAGGCCAGCAAGGAAACAGGGAUCUCGGUCCCACAGCCAUAGGAAACUGUGUACUGCUAACAACCUGAGUGAGCUUGGAAGGGAUUCUUCUCCAGAGCCUCCAGAGAAGAGCUCCAUCUGGCUGAUACCCUGUGAGGCCCCAAGCAAAGAACCCCAUCAAACUUGCCUACACUUCUCACCUACAGGUCUAUAACUAACACAUGGAUGUUGUUACGCCUCUGAGUUUGCUAUGCUGCAAUAGAAAACGAAUACACGUUA